rnacentral:rRNA from 1 species
GUGGGGAAUCUUCCGCAAUGGACGAAAGUCUGACGGAGCAACGCCGCGUGAGUGAUGAAGGUCUUCGGAUUGUAAAGCUCUGUUAAUCGGGACGAAAGAGCCUAGUGUGAAUAAUGCUAGGAAGUGACGGUACCGGAAUAGAAAGCCACGGCUAACUACGUGCCAGCAGCCGCGGUAAUACGUAGGUGGCAAGCGUUGUCCGGAAUUAUUGGGCGUAAAGCGCGCGCAGGCGGAUCUGCCAGUCUGUCUUAAAAGUUCGGGGCUUAACCGCGUGAUGGGAUGGAAACUACAGAUCUAGAGUAUCGGAGAGGAAAGUGGAAUUCCUAGUGUAGCGGUGAAAUGCGUAGAUAUUAGGAAGAACACCAGUGGCGAAGGCGACUUUCUGGACGAAAACUGACGCUGAGGCGCGAAAGCCAGGGGAGCGAACGGGAUUAGAUACCCGAGUAGUCC